AACGAACGCUGGCGGCAGGCUUAACACAUGCAAGUCGAACGCCCCGCAAGGGGAGUGGCAGACGGGUGAGUAACGCGUGGGAACAUACCCUUUCCUGCGGAAUAGCUCCGGGAAACUGGAAUUAAUACCGCAUACGCCCUACGGGGGAAAGAUUUAUCGGGGAAGGAUUGGCCCGCGUUGGAUUAGCUAGUUGGUGGGGUAAAGGCCUACCAAGGCGACGAUCCAUAGCUGGUCUGAGAGGAUGAUCAGCCACAUUGGAACUGAGACACGGCCCAAACUCCUACGGGAGGCAGCAGUGGGGAAUAUUGGACAAUGGGCGCAAGCCUGAUCCAGCCAUGCCGCGUGAGUGAUGAAGGCCUUAGGGUUGUAAAGCUCUUUCACCGAUGAAGAUAAUGACGGUAGUCGGAGAAGAAGCCCCGGCUAACUUCGUG
rnacentral:rRNA from 1 species